CCUACGGGUGGCAGCAGUGGGGAAUAUUGCACAAUGGGGGAAACCCUGAUGCAGCGACGCCGCGUGAGUGAAGAAGUAUUUCGGUAUGUAAAGCUCUAUCAGCAGGAACGAGACAAGACGGUACCUGACUAAGAAGCCCCGGCUAACUACGUGCCAGCAGCCGCGGUAAUACGUAGGGGGCAAGCGUUAUCCGGAAUCACUGGGGGUAAAGGGAGCGUAGACGGCUGGGCAAGCCUAGAGUGAAAGGGGGGGGCCCAACCCCCGGACUGCCUUUGGGACUGUACGGCCGGAGUUGCGGGGAGGGUAGUGGAAAUUCCGGUGUAGGCGGGGAAUUGCGAGAUAUUUGGAGGAACACCAGUGGCGAAGGCGGCUUACUGGACUGUAACUGACGUUGAGGCUCGAAAGCGUGGGGAGCAAACAGGAUUAGAUACCCCGGUAGUC
rnacentral:rRNA from 1 species